GAUUAACGCUGGCGGCGUGCAUAACACAUGCAAGUCGAACGAUGAAAGCUAAAUGAUUUCUUCGGAAUGAUUUUAGCCGGAUUAGUGGCGGACGGGUGAGUAACGCGUGAGUAACCUGCCUUAGAGAAGGGGAUAGCCUUUGGAAACGAAGAAUAAUACCCUAUAACACCAACACCUCGCAUGAAGAGUUGGUCAAAGAUUUAUCGCUCUAAGAUGGACUUGCGUCUGAUUAGUUAGUUGGUGAGGUAACGGCCCACCAAGACAGCGAUCAGUAGCCGGCUUGAGAGAGUGUACGGCCACAUUGGGACUGAGACACGGCCCAGACUCCUACGGGAGGCAGCAGUGGGGAAUUUUGCACAAUGGGGGAAACCCUGAUGCAGCGACGCCGCGUGAUUUAGAAGGCCUUCAGGGUUGUAAAAAUCUUUUCUAUCGGGAAGAAAAUGACAGUACCAUAG
rnacentral:rRNA from 2 species